rnacentral:tRNA from 1 species
GCCCUCGUAGCCCAACGGGUAGAGGCAGCAGGCCAAGAACCUGCGCAGUGCGCGUUCGAAUCGCGCCGGGGGCAC